rnacentral:rRNA from 1 species
UACGGAGGGGGCUAGCGUUGUUCGGAAUUACUGGGCGUAAAGCGCAUGUAGGCGGCUUUGCAAGUUAGAGGUGAAAGCCCGGGGCUCAACUCCGGAAUUGCCUUUAAAACUGCAUCGCUAGAAUUGUGGAGAGGUAAGUGGAAUUCCGAGUGUAGAGGUGAAAUUCGUAGAUAUUCGGAAGAACACCAGUGGCGAAGGCGACUUACUGGACACAUAUUGACGCUGAGGUGCGAAAGCGUGGGGAGCAAACAGG